rnacentral:lncRNA from 1 species
CCGGGUUGUGGCAAUUAGAUAAGUUUACAAGUUAGAGCCAAGUUAGCCAGUGGGCUAGAUAGCAGGUGCUAGGUGACAGUGGUGUCAAGGGAAGGGUUCUUCCGGAGGCUUGUAACUUGUAAUCAGUAAACUGUAAGCUUUAUAUUAUUGUUAAUAAUAUAAUCUCUAUACUAGUUGGUACGGGGACUUGGAUGUAGGCCAUAGAAC